GACGAACGCUGGCGGCGUGCCUAAUACAUGCAAGUCGAACGAACCGCGACGAAGUUCUUUCACUUAGUGAAGGUGAGUGGCGAACGGGUGACUAACGCAUGGGUAACCUACCUGAUAGUGGGGGAUAACAGACGGAAACGACUGCUACUACCGCUUAAGACAUAGGAUCACAUCAUUCAUGAAGGACAGUUGGCGCAUGCUAUCGCUAAGAAACGGACCCGCAGUGCAUUAGCUAGUUGGUAGGGUAAAGGCAUACCAAGGCGACGAUGCCUAGCCGACCUGAGAGGGUGAUCGGCCACAUUGGAACUGAGACACGGCCCAAACUCCUACGGGAGGCAGCAGUAGGGAAUCUUCCGCAAUGGACGAAAGCCUGACGGAGCAACGCCGCGUGAGUGAUGAAGGUCUUCGGAUCGUAAAGCUCUGUUGUUAGGGAAGAACAGCGCAUAGAGUAACUGCUAAGCGUGUGACGGUAUCUAACCAGAAAGCCACGGCUAACUACGUG
rnacentral:rRNA from 1 species